GACAAACGCUGGCGGCAUGCCUAACACAUGCAAGUCGAACGGACAGAACAGGGAAGCUUUUCGGAGUGGAACUGGAAAGUUAUUGGCUGAUUGGUGAGUAACGCGUUUUCAACCUACCUUGUAAAUGGGAAUAACCUCGAGAAAUCGAAGCUAAUACCCCAUAAUAACCUUUCUUCGCAUGUAGUAAGGUGGAAAGGCGGCCUUACCGCUGUCGAUACAAUAUGGUUCCGCGUCUGAUUAGCUAGUUGGUGAGGUAAAGGCUCACCAAGGCGACGAUCAGUAGCCGGCGUGAGAGGGUGAACGGCCACAUUGGGACUGAGACACGGACCAAACUCCUACGGGAGGCAGCAGUGGGGAAUCUUCCGCAAUGGGCGAAAGCCUGACGGAGCAAUGCCGCGUGAGUGAAGAAGGCCUUCGGGUUGUAAAACUCUGUCCUUAUCGAAGAGAGAGUGUUGUAGUAACUGAAAAUAAUAGGACGGUAGAUGAGGAGGAAGCCCCGGCUAACUAUGUG
rnacentral:rRNA from 1 species